AGCUGGCAUGGCAUAGUGGUUAGAGUGUUGGGCCACUACUCUGGAGACCAGGGUUCAAUUCCCAACUUGGCUA
rnacentral:tRNA from 1 species